AGUGAACGCUGGCGGUAGGCCUAACACAUGCAAGUCGAACGGCAGCACAGUAAGAGCUUGCUCUUACGGGUGGCGAGUGGCGGACGGGUGAGGAAUACAUCGGAAUCUACUUUUUCGUGGGGGAUAACGUAGGGAAACUUACGCUAAUACCGCAUACGACCUACGGGUGAAAGCAUGGGAUCUUCGGACCUUGCGCGAUUGAAUGAGCCGAUGUCGGAUUAGCUAGUUGGCGGGGUAAAGGCCCACCAAGGCGACGAUCCGUAGCUGGUCUGAGAGGAUGAUCAGCCACACUGGAACUGAGACACGGUCCAGACUCCUACGGGAGGCAGCAGUGGGGAAUAUUGGACAAUGGGCGCAAGCCUGAUCCAGCCAUACCGCGUGGGUGAAGAAGGCCUUCGGGUUGUAAAGCCCUUUUGUUGGGAAAGAAAAGCAGCAGGUUAAUACCCCGCUGUUCUGACGGUACCAAAAGAAUAGGCACCGGCUAACUUCGUG
rnacentral:rRNA from 1 species